GGCCAUGUGAUCGAGUGGCAAGGUAAAGGUUCGCAAAACCUUCGACGGUGGUUCGAUUCCACCCGUGGCCGCCC
rnacentral:tRNA from 1 species